rnacentral:rRNA from 1 species
CAGUCGCCGCGGUAACACGUAUGUCACAAGCGUUAUCCGGAUUUAUUGGGCGUAAAGGGAGCGCAGGCGGUUUAGUAAGUCUGAAGUUAAAGGCAUUGGCUCAACCAAUGUAUGCUUUGGAAACUGUUAGACUUGAGUGCAGAAGGGGAGAGUGGAAUUCCAUGUGUAGCGGUGAAAUGCGUAGAUAUAUGGAGGAACACCGGUGGCGAAAGCGGCUCUCUGGUCUGUCACUGACGCUGAGGCUCGAAAGCGUGGGUAGCGAACAGGAUUAGAUACCCCAGUAGUCCCUGUCUCUUAUACA